rnacentral:piRNA from 1 species
UGAAAGAGCUUGUGUAAGCUUGAGAG